rnacentral:rRNA from 1 species
AGAGUUUGAUCCUGGCUCAGAUUGAACGCUGGCGGCAGGCCUAACACAUGCAAGUCGAGCGGAUGAGAAGAGCUUGCUCUUCGAUUCAGCGGCGGACGGGUGAGUAAUGCCUAGGAAUCUGCCUAUUAGUGGGGGACAACGUUUCGAAAGGAACGCUAAUACCGCAUACGUCCUACGGGAGAAAGCAGGGGACCUUCGGGCCUUGCGCUAAUAGAUGAGCCUAGGUCGGAUUAGCUAGUUGGUGAGGUAAUGGCUCACCAAGGCUACGAUCCGUAACUGGUCUGAGAGGAUGAUCAGUCACACUGGAACUGAGACACGGUCCAGACUCCUACGGGAGGCAGCAGUGGGGAAUAUUGGACAAUGGGCGAAAGCCUGAUCCAGCCAUGCCGCGUGUGUGAAGAAGGUCU